rnacentral:rRNA from 1 species
AUGAACGCUAGCUACAGGCUUAACACAUGCAAGUCGAGGGGCAGCAUGGUCUUAGCUUGCUAAGGCCGAUGGCGACCGGCGCACGGGUGAGUAACACGUAUCCAACCUGCCGUCUACUCUUGGACAGCCUUCUGAAAGGAAGAUUAAUACAAGAUGGCAUCAUGAGUCCGCAUGUUCACAUGAUUAAAGGUAUUCCGGUAGACGAUGGGGAUGCGUUCCAUUAGAUAGUAGGCGGGGUAACGGCCCACCUAGUCUUCGAUGGAUAGGGGUUCUGAGAGGAAGGUCCCCCACAUUGGAACUGAGACACGGUCCAAACUCCUACGGGAGGCAGCAGUGAGGAAUAUUGGUCAAUGGGCGAGAGCCUGAACCAGCCAAGUAGCGUGAAGGAUGACUGCCCUAUGGGUUGUAAACUUCUUUUAUAAAGGAAUAAAGUCGGGUAUGGAUACCCGUUUGCAUGUACUUUAUGAAUAAGGAUCGGCUAACUCCGUGCCAGCAGCCGCGGUAAUACGGAGGAUCCGAGCGUUAUCCGGAUUUAUUGGGUUUAAAGGGAGCGUAGAUGGAUGUUUAAGUCAGUUGUGAAAGUUUGCGGCUCAACCGUAAAAUUGCAGUUGAUACUGGAUAUCUUGAGUGCAGUUGAGGCAGGCGGAAUUCGUGGUGUAGCGGUGAAAUGCUUAGAUAUCACGAAGAACUCCGAUUGCGAAGGCAGCCUGCUAAGCUGCAACUGACAUUGAGGCUCGAAAGUGUGGGUAUCAAACAGGAUUAGAUACCCUGGUAGUCCACACGGUAAACGAUGAAUACUCGCUGUUUGCGAUAUACUGCAAGCGGCCAAGCGAAAGCGUUAAGUAUUCCACCUGGGGAGUACGCCGGCAACGGUGAAACUCAAAGGAAUUGACGGGGGCCCGCACAAGCGGAGGAACAUGUGGUUUAAUUCGAUGAUACGCGAGGAACCUUACCCGGGCUUAAAUUGCAGAUGAAUUACGGUGAAAGCCGUAAGCCGCAAGGCAUCUGUGAAGGUGCUGCAUGGUUGUCGUCAGCUCGUGCCGUGAGGUGUCGGCUUAAGUGCCAUAACGAGCGCAACCCUUGUUGUCAGUUACUAACAGGUUCCGCUGAGGACUCUGACAAGACUGCCAUCGUAAGAUGUGAGGAAGGUGGGGAUGACGUCAAAUCAGCACGGCCCUUACGUCCGGGGCUACACACGUGUUACAAUGGGGGGUACAGAGGGCCGCUACCACGCGAGUGGAUGCCAAUCCCCAAAACCUCUCUCGGUUCGGACUGGAGUCUGCAACCCGACUCCACGAAGCUGGAUUCGCUAGUAAUCGCGCAUCAGCCACGGCGCGGUGAAUACGUUCCCGGGCCUUGUACACACCGCCCGUCAAGCCAUGGGAGCCGGGGGUACCUGAAGUGCGUAACCGCGAGGAGCGCCCUAGGGUAAAACUGGUGACUGGGGCU